rnacentral:lncRNA from 1 species
AUGGACCCAGAUGGCUACGCUGAAGCCGCGGGAAAUCUCGAGGAGAAGGAUUGGGGUGAAUGCAUGUGUAAGGAGGUUGGGGGCAUGGUUUACAACGGUGGAACCCGUGAAAGUAGCGACCAUGUAGCCUUGCCUAGGCCUGGCAAGUACCCGACUGCUAGGAUGGAUCAAUAUCCCACUCGUGCAGUAACUAGUAGUAAAUGGGACCUUCGAACGGCUCUGGUGUCCUCAGCCUUGCAAACUGUUGACAUCGUGUGGGUAAAGCUGGACAGUCUUUGCAGAGGUGAAUUAAAUCAUUCGAAUGUGCCGUACUCCCGGUUUUGGAGUUGUGUCAUCAGGGUGAUUCCUACUCCUGAAGUAUAAGUAGUUUUAA